UGCAUGUCUCAGUAUAAACGAUUUAACAGUGAAACCGCGAACGGCUCAUUACAACAGGUAUAAUUUACUUGAUCUUGAUGGAAUCCUACUUGGAUAACUGUGGUAAUUCUAGAGCUAAUACAUGCCCUAAAGCUCUGACCUCGCGGGAAGAGUGCAUUUAUUAGAUCAAAACCAAGCGGCUUCGGCCGUCUGCCACUGACUUAAAGUAACUAAGCUGAUCGUAUGGUCUUGCACCGACGACGUAUCUUUCAAGUAUCUGCCUUAUCAACUUUCGAUGGUAGUGUAGUGGACUACCAUGGUUGUGACGGGUAACGGAGGAUAAGGGUUCGACUCCGGAGAGGGAGCUUGAGACACGGCUACCAUGUCUAAGGACAGCAGCAGGCGCGCAAAUUACCCACUCUCAGAACGAGGAGGUAGUGACGAAAAAUAACGAGACCGUUCUCUAUGAGGCCGGUCAUCGGAAUGGGUACAAUCUAAACCCUUUAACGAGUAUCUAUGAGAGGGCAAGUCUGGUGCCAGCAGCCGCGGUAAUUCCAGCUCUCAAAAUGCAUAGAAUUAUUGCUGCGGUUAAAAAGCUCGUAGUUGGAUCUGUGCUGGGGACUGGGUCCGCCUUCGGGUGUGCACUCAGCUCGCCGGCUUUUUGCCGGUUUUCCCGUUGUGGCCUUUACCGGCUGCAGCGGGUGGCUGGCGAGUUUACCUUGAAGAAAUCAAAGUGCUUAAUACAGGCGAUUUGCUUGAAUGUGGUGCAUGGAAUAAUAGAAAAGGAUUUCGGUUCUCUUUUAUUGGUUUUAUGAGCUGAGAUAAUGGUUAACAGAGACAAACGGGGGCAUUCGUAUCGUUGCGUGAGAGGUGAAAUUCUUGGACCGCAGCGAGACGAACUACAGCGAAAGCAUUUGCCAAGAAUGUCUUCAUUAAUCAAGAACGAAAGUCAGAGGUUCGAAAGGCGAUCAGAUAC
rnacentral:rRNA from 1 species